AUAAAUCUUUAAGGGGAAGGUUCCCGGAUCUGUGAUCUGUGACAAGGCAAGUAUUUCAAUCGACGGGAGAAACUACCUGCCACUCACGCGAACAUCUGAGCCGCUUAAAAUGUCUUCGUCUGCGUUUAAAUAUAAAUAUAUAUAUUAUUUCCCAGAAGCAGGACGUUCUUUUCACAACGUUUGCAGCACACUCUGCUGGCUGAUGUCGAAAGUAAAACCAAGCCCACGUGACGGGCUAGAAAGCACCGAGUAUUUUUUGACACAGCAGAGGCACAGUCUAUGCAGGGCUGCGGGCUCCGUCCAUUCUCCUUUUCCUUUCGCUUGUGGGCCACGCACAGCCACGGGAAGCCAGCGGCCGGCUUUUUGCCGAAAAAAAGGAAAAAAAUGAGGUACCGAUUCCCGUGACCGUUGUAGGUCACCCGGGCUGCCGGCGGCCGCGGUAAUAAAGUAUCUUUUUUUUUUUUUUCUUUUGAGGAGAGAAAGUGUGAGGGGGGGAUAUCAGGACAGAAAGCGUGGGGUUUUUUGUUAUUUUUUUUUUUAGAAAAAGUGUGGUGGGGUGGUGGUUCUAGGAACGUGGUGGGGGAGAAAAAUGGAGCGUGGUGGGGGUUUUGGGGGGAGAAAAAUGGCUUUUUUUUUACGAGACAACGUGGGGGCUUUCGGGUUCCUUUCUUAUUUUAAGGAAAGAAAAGGCCCGGUGUGUGUGGGGAGGGGGUGGGCUGAGGCCUGGCGGCGCCGGGGGCCUCCCGCCCCGUCACGGCCGGGCCGGGGCAGCACCGCCCUCCAUCUUGGGAGCGGGGCGAGGCCCGUGUGGUGCUCUGAGGACAAAAGGGUCAUUAGCUGGGCGGCGUGCGGGUGCGGGCCCCCGCCAAGGUCGUGGACACGGGAGGGGGCUUCUUCCUGGAGGAGGAGGAGGAGGAGGAUGAGAAGGAGGAGGAAGAGCACGGCGGCGCCGCCAGGAUCGUGCGUCCGCCCGCGCGAUUUCUGGCGCGUCUGCAUCCAUCGGUAUUCGAGCGGGUCGCGAGCGAGACGCGAUGAAAAAGGAAGAAUUUUAAGCCGCGGAAGUGGGACGCCGCGUGUGCCCUUGGGCUUAGCGGCUUUUUUCCUAACCCCCGCACCUGUGCUAGAGUUUGACUAUCUCAUCUGUGGAGACUGUGGCAAAGAAUUCAUGGAUUCCUACCUUAUGCAGCACUUUGAUUGGGCAACUUGUGAUAAUUGCAGAGAUGCCGAAGAUAAACAUAAGCUUAUAACAAGGACAGAAGCAAAAGAAGAGUAUCUUCUUAAAGACUGUGACUUAGACAAGAGGGAACCAGUGCUCAGAUUUAUUGUGAAGAAAAACCCUCACAACCCUCGGUGGGGUGACAUGAAACUUUAUUUAAAACUGCAGGGGAAAAAAGAAACACAUUUAUGUCCAUCCUGUAGGUAAUCAAGCGUUCUCUUGAAGUCUGGGGUAGUGAAGAAUCAUUGCAAGAAGCAAAGGAACUCCGCCGUGACAGCAGAGAGAAGAUGAAACAGAAGAAGUUUGAUAAGAAGGUUAAAGAGCUCCGUCGUGCAGUGAGGAGCAGUUUGUGGAAGAGAGCAGCUAGCAUCCAUGAACAUGAAUAUGGACCAGAAGAAAACAUUGAUGAAGACACUUA